UACGAAGGGGGCGAGCGUUGUUCGGAAUCACUGGGCGUAAAGCGUGCGUAGGCGGUUAUGAAAGUUAGGAGUGAAAGCCCAGGGCUUAACCUUGGAAUUGCUCUUAAAACUACAUGACUUGAAUCUCGGAGAGGAUAGCGGAAUUGUCAGUGUAGCAGUGAAAUGCGUAGAUAUUGACAGGAACACCAGUGGCGUAAGCGGCUAUCUGGACGAGUAUUGACGCUGAUGUACAAAAGCGUGGGGAUCAAACAGG
rnacentral:rRNA from 1 species